GGGAGGGUGGUCUAGCUUGGUAUGAUACUCGGCUGGGGGCCGAGAGAUUUCUUAAGGUCUAAGAGAUUAGGUACUGGCCGGGGGUUCGAAUCCCUCCCCUCCCA
rfam:Archeaon Loki Lokiarch_contig000355, whole genome shotgun sequence.